GCGGCCCAUAGCUCAACUGGCUAGAGCACCUGCCCCGGCAAGGCAGAAGGUGCGGGUUCAAAUCCCGCUGUGCCGCG
rnacentral:tRNA from 1 species